rnacentral:lncRNA from 1 species
UUCACGAGACGAAUUUAUUGAGUCUAAUUAGUCCAUAAUUAGCGAACUCGAUGCUAAAGUAAAGAUAUAACAAGUCACCACUUUAUUCUUCCUGGAGCUGCUGCCUACAUUAACAACACAACAAGAUGCAAAUAAGAACGGUUUAACUUGCUAAACCACCAGUACACUACUAAAUAAUACUACAGUAAAAGACUACCCUUACUACUACAACCAGCUGCAGCAGCAGCAGCAACAACUGCUGCUUCACACCAUUUUAUUCCUUUGCUAAUUGAGCUACAAAACCUAUUCCUUUUUCCCUUUAUCCAUCUUUCCCAUCUACGCACCCCCUUUGAUUGAUUUUAGUUCUUCUUCGCCCAUCAUCUUCGUCGAUGGUCAGUAGGUCCAUUCUUGAGGCAGCGCCAGCUCCGGGCACGCGUGCUGCAACGUUGAGGCAGCGCCAGCUCCGGGCACGCGCGCCCCCCCCCCCCCGCCGCGGCGCUCGGCCGCAGCUGCAUCGUCGUCGGCUCCGGUGGUGAGGCCGUCUCGGUCGCCGGUGACCGGUCCUCGCCGUGUCCUGGCUCCACGGGCCGAUCCUUGGUCGCCUUCCCAUCUGCACACAGUAAAUGCAACGAUAGUGUCACAGAUGCGAUCAUCAUGUGAGGGAGAACAAGACAGAAAUGCACAUGUCAGGUUUCAGUUCAACCACAGGCUUGGCUGAGCUCUACUCCACUUUAAUGGCAGCAAAUUAACACACCAAUCCACCAUUAAACACACCACACGCUUGGCUGCAUUCCAGCAGUCAAUCUUGAUCACCUGAUCACCCAUGGCAUCCGAUGGAACAGUGUCCAUGUAUCCAAUGGCAUUGCCAUCAGAGCUCACUUCACUGGUGGGGAACAGCCUGAGCCCACAGGCUUCUCCUCUCCUCUCACUCCAAUUUGCCUUUGUUUUUCAUGAUCAAUCCAAAUUUUUUUCAACAUUGUAAAAAUUACAUUGGGUUGGAUUAUACUAAGUAUUGAGGCAUUAUUGAUGACGCCUCCUACUCGUCGCAGUCACACUUCUCGAGAAGAAGCAGCAGCAGCAGCAUUUGUGCAGGCGUGAGGACGCAUCGAUUCCAUCAACCCAACCCGCCAUGAAUGCCACCACCGUGAUCAUGCGAUUUGCAGCGAUUUGGUUCCAUGGUUUUGGGGGGAUUUUCGAGGCGGCGUGGGCGCUAAUCGGCGCAGAGACCAACAGGAUUUGAGGCCGCGCGCGGCGUUCCCCUACCUCUCGACGAAGGCCUUGUGGCCGCCGCCGGCGGCGGCGGCGGCGCCUUGGCGUGGUACAUCUCGGCGCGUGGCAGGAACACGCCGGUGCCGCCGCGG